rnacentral:rRNA from 1 species
GGAGGAAAAGAAACUAACAAGGAUUCCCCUAGUAACGGCGAGUGAACCGGGAAGAGCUCAAAUUUGAAAUCUGGCGUCCUCAGGGCGUCCGAGUUGUAAUCUAUAGAGGCGUUUUCCGUGCCGGACCGUGUCCAAGUUCCUUGGAACAGGAUAUCAAAGAGGGUGACAAUCCCGUACUUGACACGACGACCGGUGCUCUGUGAUACGUCUUCUACGAGUCGAGUUGUUUGGGAAUGCAGCUCAAAAUGGGUGGUGAGUUCCAUCUAAAGCUAAAUAUUGGCGAGAGACCGAUAGCGAACAAGUACCGUGAGGGAAAGAUGAAAAGCACUUUGGAAAGAGAGUUAAACAGUACGUGAAAUUGUUGAAAGGGAAACGAUUGAAGUCAGUCGUGACCGAGAGGCUCAGCCGGUUCUGCCGGUGUAUUCCCCUCGGUCGGGUCAACAUCAGUUUUGUCCGGUGGAUAAGGGCAGUAGGAAGGUGGCACCCUCGGGUGUGUUAUAGCCUGCCGUCGCAUACAUCGGGUGAGACUGAGGAACGCAGCUCGCCUUUAUGGCCGGGGUUCGCCCACGUCCGAGCUUAGGAUGUU